GACGGGCCUCCCCGCAUGGGGGCGCGGCCAAACGGGUCAGGUCGGGAACGAAGCAGCCCUAACCGUUUGCCACCAGUGCCGGGGUUCAGGCUCGUCACCCUUCU
rnacentral:SRP_RNA from 1 species